UGAUCCUUUAAUACGGUCCAGAGAGGCUGAAAAGGGCUGCGUGAUAUUUUAAAUAUUUUUAAUAUCUUUGUUUAUUCAUGCCCUUUUGUCUUAUCUGACGGAAGGGUAUUUUUU
rfam:Lysinibacillus contaminans strain DSM 25560 Scaffold3, whole genome shotgun sequence.